CCUACGGGGGGCAGCAGUGAGGAAUAUUGGUCAAUGGACGAGAGUCUGAACCAGCCAAGUAGCGUGAAGGAUGACUGCCCUAUGGGUUGUAAACUUCUUUUAUAUGGGAAUAAAAUGUUCCACGUGUGGGAUUUUGUAUGUACCAUAUGAAUAAGGAUCGGCUAACUCCGUGCCAGCAGCCGCGGUAAUACGGAGGAUCCGAGCGUUAUCCGGAUUUAUUGGGUUUAAAGGGAGCGUAGGUGGAUUGUUAAGUCAGUUGUGAAAGUUUGCAGCUCAACCGUAAAAUUGCAGUUGAAACUGGCAGUCUUGAGUACAGUAGAGGUGGGCGGAAUUCGUGGUGUAGCGGUGAAAUGCUUAGAUAUCACGAAGAACUCCGAUUGCGAAGGCAGUUCACUGGACUGCAACUGACACUGAGGCUCGAAAGUGUGGGUAUCAAACAGGAUUAGAUACCCCUGUAGUC
rnacentral:rRNA from 1 species